rnacentral:rRNA from 1 species
AGUGAACGCUGGCGGUAGGCCUUACACAUGCAAGUCGAACGGCAGCACGGUAUGACCUUGCUCUUACGGGUGGCGAGUGGCAGACGGGUGUGGUAUACAUCGGCAUCUACUUUUUCGUGGGGGAUAACGUAGGGAAACUUACGCUAAUCCCGCAUACGACCUACGGGUGAAAGCAGGGGAUCUUCGGCCCUUGCGCGAUUGAAUGAGCCGAUGUCGGAUUAGCUAGUUGGCGGGGUAAAGGCCCACCAAGGCGACGAUCCGUAGCUGGUCUGAGAGGAUGAUCAGCCACACUGGAACUGAGACACGGUCCAGACUCCUACGGGAGGCAGCAGUGGGGAAUAUUGGACAAUGGGCGCAAGCCUGAUCCAGCCAUACCGCGUGGGUGAAGAAGGCCUUCGGGUUGUAAAGCCCUUUUGUCGGGAAAGAAAAGCAUCUGGUUAAUACCCCGCUGUGAUGACGGUACCCAAAGAAUAAGCACCGGCUAACUUCGUG